UCAAUAUUCAGACAAAUCCAGAAAGAGGUUCUGGUUUUUGAAGUCAUCUUCUCCAGAGUGUCAACCCCCACCCACAAAAGGUAGUUUCCAGAAAAGGAAGUGAAAGAUAGAUGGGGGACAAAACAUCUCUGAAGUCAGCACUCUGACUGGUAACACGUGAAAUUUUGCAAAUACACAGAUCUAUGUUCCAGAGCUCUCUCCAUAGGCUUUUUUUUUUUUUUUGCUCUGCUCCUGAAGUUUCAUCCUGCUCCUUGGAAAUAACUUCUGGAAAGUGAAGUUUUGCCAAGCUUGAAAUCAGGCCCUUUUCUUCACUCAGGGCAGAGGCCUGAGACGGAGAAAGGAGUGCUGGCCCCGCAGCGAGCUGAGAGCUGACGGUGGCUACAACAGGGCUUCCCCGGCCGAACCGGAACCGGGCGUCCAGAGCCUGGGAGCCGGACCAGCCACUGAAACGAUGAAAACACGGAGGGGAAGAGGCCGUUUCUGCAGUUUCCCAACUGCGCCGGUCCUGGGAGCGGCCUCCCAUAACGAGCAGCAGCCCUG
rnacentral:lncRNA from 1 species